rnacentral:rRNA from 1 species
GACGAACGCUGGCGGCGUGCUUAACACAUGCAAGUCGAACGGAAAGACCCUGCUUUUGUGGGGUGCUCGAGUGGCGAUCGGGUGAGUAACACGUGAGUAACCUGCCCUUGACUUUGGGAUAACUUCAGGAAACUGGGGCUAAUACCGGAUAGGAGCUCCUGCUGCAUGGUGGGGGUUGGAAAGUUUCGGCGGUUGGGGAUGGACUCGCGGCUUAUCAGCUUGUUGGUGGGGUAGUGGCUUACCAAGGCUUUGACGGGUAGCCGGCCUGAGAGGGUGACCGGCCACAUUGGGACUGAGAUACGGCCCAGACUCCUACGGGAGGCAGCAGUGGGGAAUAUUGCACAAUGGGCGGAAGCCUGAUGCAGCAACGCCGCGUGCGGGAUGACGGCCUUCGGGUUGUAAACCGCUUUCGCCUGUGACGAAGCGUGAGUGACGGUAAUGGGUAAAGAAGCACCGGCUAACUACGUG